GUGGGGAAUAUUGGACAAUGGGCGAAAGCCUGAUCCAGCAAUGCCGCGUGUGUGAAGAAGGCCUUCGGGUUGUAAAGCACUUUCACUCGCGAAGAUGAUGACGGUAGCGAGAGAAGAAGCCCCGGCUAACUCCGUGCCAGCAGCCGCGGUAAUACGGAGGGGGCUAGCGUUGUUCGGAAUUACUGGGCGUAAAGGGCGUGUAGGCGGCUUCAACAGUCAGGCGUGAAAGCCCCGGGCUUAACCUGGGAAUGGCGCUUGAUACUGCGAGGCUAGAGUUCGGGAGAGGAGAGUGGAAUUCCCAGUGUAGAGGUGAAAUUCGUAGAUAUUGGGAAGAACACCAGUGGCGAAGGCGGCUCUCUGGACCGAUACUGACGCUAAGGCGCGAAAGCGUGGGGAGCAAACAGG
rnacentral:rRNA from 1 species